AGCCGGGUCCUGCGCAACAAAAGGUUACAAACCCCGUCAGGUCCGGAAGGAAGCAGCGGUAGUAACCUCUUUUGUGUGCCGCAGGGUUGCCUGGCUAUC
rnacentral:SRP_RNA from 1 species